UACGUAGGGGGCAAGCGUUGUCCGGAUUUAUUGGGGUAAAGGGGUCGGAGGGGGGUCGGUAAGUUGGAUGUGAAAUCUCCAGGCUCAACCUGGAGGGGUCAUUCGAUACUGCCGUGACUAGAGUUCGGUAGGGGAGUGUGGAAUUCCUGGUGGAGCGGUGAAAUGCGCAGAUAUCAGGAGGAACACCCGUAGCGAAGGCGGCACUCUGGGCCGAUACUGACACUGAGGAGCAAAAGCGUGGGGAGCGAACAGG
rnacentral:rRNA from 1 species